rfam:Ricinus communis cultivar Hale ctg_1100012353818, whole genome shotgun sequence.
AAACCAUGGUGUGGGAAACAUCUCAGCAAGUCCUUGUACCUCUCCCACGCAUCAUAUAUGCUCUCAUCAUCAAACUGCACAAAAGAAAAAAAUAUCAUUACGCAUCUU